AUGCCUAGGGGUAGAUGUAAGGGGAAGGGGGCAGGAGCAGAGCCCCUAGCCUGCUGGACCAGCUUAGCCAGCAGCCCCGCUGAGCUCUGAAGAAAUUGUUUCUAGGUUCUAACUGGGGUCUCUCCUGCAGUACUCACAGCUUCUGAUGGGUGAGGGAAGAGAAGGGAGAGGACCCACUCCAUCAGAUCCUCAGUUGGCUCCCUUCCCCCGUUCAAGGUUCUAUCUGGAGCUCCCAGGCCCAGCCCUGUCCGGAGCGUACCUUGAAGGGCAGCGGUCCUUCCGGAGUGCAGGACUGUGCUUCGGGCCUGCAGCCUGAUAGGAAGCCUGGGGACAGCGAAGCGGAGCGAUAAAGCAUCAGCACGAAGACAGCAAGAGCAAUUGCGUGUCGGAACCAGCGCCGCAGAGCCGGGGGCGGCGGCGCGACCCCCAUAGCUGCUGCUGCAACACCAGCCUAGAGACUGUCGGUGUCCCCUCGACUCCACGGAAAAGAAGCCUGCGGUCCCCUAACGCGCAAAGGGUUAAUAAUUAACCUGUUAAGGCCCCCUUCCCUGUGUCCUUUGCCCUAGAGGGCAGCUAGCUACCCCGGGAUGAGGGACAGAAUAAAGAUUUGGGGGUUUUGACAGCA